CCCCUGGAGGACUAGUGGUUAGGCCACAGCGCUCUCACCGCCACAGCCCGGGUUCAAUUCCUGGCCAGGAAG
rnacentral:tRNA from 2 species